UCUUAUAUCCGGUUGAUUGUAAUUUAAGAAAGUAACACAAUUUAAGGUAACGAGACAGUGGCACGACGGGGGACUUAUGGUUUAAAAUAUGUAGGGAAUUAAUGGAAUUUACUUUGAUUUAUUUAUAUUACAGCUUUAACAAAGUGAAAAAAGAUCAACAAAUAAAACAACUUAUUCUUUUAUUAUUAUAAAAAUGAAAACUUAAUAUCAUAAUGUCAACACAGUGAAAAAUAAAAUAUAAUUCAGU